rnacentral:rRNA from 1 species
GACGAACGCUGGCGGCGUGCCUAAUACAUGCAAGUAGAACGCUGAAGAGAGGAGCUUGCUCUUCUUGGAUGAGUUGCGAACGGGUGAGUAACGCGUAGGUAACCUGCCUGGUAGCGGGGGAUAACUAUUGGAAACGAUAGCUAAUACCGCAUAAAAUGGAUUAUCGCAUGAUAAUCCAUUGAAAGGUGCAAAUGCAUCACUACCAGAUGGACCCGCGUUGUAUUAGCUAGUUGGGGGGGUAACGGCCUACCAAGGCCACGGUACAUAACCGGCCUGGGAGGGGGAUCGGCCCAACUGGGAACGGGGCACGGCCCCGACUCCUACGGGAGGGAGCAGGAAGGGAUCUUCGGCAAUGGACGGAAGUCUGACCGGGCCAAGCCGCGGGGGUGAAGGAGGGUCUCGGAUCGUAAAGCUCUGUUGUAAAGGAAGAACGAGUGUGGGAGUGAAAAGUGCACACUGUGACGGUAUCUUACCAGAAAGGGACGGCUAACUACGUG